GACGAACGCUGGCGGUGCGUCUAAGACAUGCAAGUCGCGCGAUUAAAGCUCCCUUCGGGGAGUGUAUAAAGCGGCGGACGGGUGAGUAACACGUAGCUAACCUACCUUCCGGAUCGGGAUAACGGUGCGAAAGCGCCGCUAAUACCGGGUACGACCUGGAAUCUAUCCGGUUCCAGGUGAAAGCGGGCUUUGUUCCGCGUCGGAAGAGGGGGCUGCGGCCUAUUAGCUAGUUGGUGAGGUAACGGCCCACCAAGGCUGCGAUGGGUAGCUGAUUUGAGAGGAUGAUCAGCCACACUGGGACUGAGACACGGCCCAGACUCCUACGGGAGGCAG
rnacentral:rRNA from 1 species